UUCACGUGGGACUCCUAAAGCGGGA
rnacentral:piRNA from 1 species